UAGUUAAAUUAGUGUUGUUUUUUUUAUUCUUCCUUGUAUUUUUUUUGGCACCCGUGGUGUCUAUUAAUUU
rnacentral:tRNA from 1 species